rfam:Terrisporobacter sp. 08-306576 Contig109, whole genome shotgun sequence.
AAUAAUUGCUAGGGGUGCCUUAAUUGGCUGAGAGGUUUUACCGACCCUUGUACCUGAUCUGGAUAAUACCAGCGUAGGAAAGCUUCAUCCACUUUAU